rnacentral:rRNA from 1 species
UACGUAGGUGGCAAGCGUUGUCCGGAUUUAUUGGGUUUAAAGGGUGCGUAGGCGGUCCUAUAAGUCAGUGCUGAAAUAUCCCGGCUUAACCGGGAGGGUGGCAUUGAUACUGCAGGACUUGAGUAAAGUUGAGGUUGGCGGAAUUGACGGUGUAGCGGUGAAAUGCUUAGAUAUCGUCAAGAACACCUAUUGCGAAGGCAGCUAACUAAACUUUAACUGACGCUGAGGCACGAAAGUGUGGGGAUCAAACAGG